ACGAACGCUGGCGGCGUGCUUAACACAUGCAAGUCGAGCGGUAAGGCCCUUUCGGGGGUACGACGAGCGGCGAACGGGUGAGUAACACGUGGGUGACCUCGCCCUCAGCUCUGGGGAUAAGCCGUGGGAAACCGGGUACUAAUACUGGAUAUGACUCCAUGACGCAUGUUGGUGGGGUGGAAAGCCUUGUGCGGCUGAGGA
rnacentral:rRNA from 1 species